AUUGAACGCUGGCGGCAUGCCUUACACAUGCAAGUCGAACGGUAACGCGGGGCAACCUGGCGACGAGUGGCGAACGGGUGAGUAAUGUAUCGGAACGUGCCCAGUUGUGGGGGAUAACUGCUCGAAAGAGCAGCGAAUACCGCAUACGACCUGAGGGCGAAAGCGGGGGAUCGCAAGACCUCGCGCAAUAGGAGCGGCCGAUAUCAGAUUAGGUAGUUGGUGGGGUAAAGGCCCACCAAGCCAACGAGCUGUAGCUGGUCUGAGAGGACGACCAGCCACCCUGGGACUGAGACACGGCCCAGACUCCUACGGGAGGCAGCAGUGGGGAAUUUUGGACAAUGGACGCAAGUCUGAUCCAGCCAUGCCGCGUGCGGGAAGAAGGCCUUCGGGUUGUAAACCGCUUUUGUCAGGGAAGAAAAGGGCGACUCUAAUACAGUUGCCUCAUGACGGUACCUGAAGAAUAAGCACCGGCUAACUACGUGCCAGCAGCCGCGGUAAUAC
rnacentral:rRNA from 1 species